rnacentral:ncRNA from 1 species
AGUACUCAGGAGAGUCCCUUUUACAGUCCUGUGCGGGUCAGUGGACUGGCAUAUCUGUAGAAGGGCGCCGAAGGUGUAAGCGUUGAUACUCUGGUAUUCCUGCUCUUGUAGGAAAGCGGAGCAAAAACGUGAGUCUCUCAGGCAAAAGGAUGGAGGUAUAA